CAAAAGUGUAGGAAUAGAUUUUGGGUAGCAAAAAUGAAAACCCCAAUAGUCCAUGAACCAACACCAAACUAGCCAGGAGUUUCGACAGUGUAAGAAAAUAUGACAAAUGGUUUAUGCUUCAACAUUAUACCAAGGAACAUGUUCUGUGAGGCAGGAAUAAUACCUAAGUGACUGAGCCACCCUGUUGAAGACAACCUAUAAUUGCUGAUCAACCAUAUCAAAGUCUCAACUCGUAAGCCCUAGCCAAACAAAGGGUUGGUGCUUUGGCAUCUCAUAAGAAGCACUAAGAAAUCGUUUAUUGAGAAACUUAACUGAGAAAGAAUUGUCAUUAGCGAGCUUCCACAUGAAUAAAUCUUCUUUACAAGCAUAAAGCCUUAAAGAAUUGAGAGUUUACCAAAAGUUGAGCUAGAAGUUGAAGUUCCUAAUCAAAAAGAUUUCUGCACCAAGAAAACCUCCAUUGCCAAACACUAUUAACCCAAGAACUCAAAACAAAUACUAUUAUAUCUUGGUUAAUUGCCAAGUUAAAAAGACGGUUGGAAGAGAAUUUUAAUGCCAUGUUUCCCACACACUUAUCAUGCCAAAACUUAACCACAUGACCAUCACCAAUGGCAUACCUUAUAUGAUCUAAAAUAGCAAACCCAGCUCUCGAGAUAUUAAGAGAUUUUUUAAUGUCCUUCCAAAGUGGAGAAAUAGAAUUACCCACCACUAAAGAUAAUCUGCAUUCGGAUUAAAAAGAGUACUUAGACUAAAGAACUUAAACCCAAAAUGAAUUACCAUGCUGCUUAAAG
rnacentral:misc_RNA from 1 species